rnacentral:rRNA from 1 species
GAUGAACGCUAGCUACAGGCUUAACACAUGCAAGUCGAGGGUAGCAGGGUAGCAAUACCGCUGACGACCGGCGCACGGGUGAGUAACACGUAUCCAACCUUCCCAUCACUCGGGAUAGCCUUUCGAAAGAAGAUUAAUACCCGAUUAGUACUUUUUGAGGCAUCUUGAGAAAGUUAAAGAUUUAUUGGUGAUGGAUGGGGAUGCGUUCCAUUAGAUUGUUGGUGAGGUAACGGCUCACCAAGUCUUCGAUGGAUAGGGGGUUCUGAGAGGAAGGUCCCCCACAUUGGUACUGAGACACGGACCAAACUCCUACGGGAGGCAGCAGUGAGGAAUAUUGGUCAAUGGGCGAGAGCCUGAACCAGCCAAGUAGCGUGAAGGAUGAAGGUCCUAUGGAUUGUAAACUUCUUUUAUAGUAGAAUAAAGUGAUCCACGUGUGGAUUUUUGUAUGUAUACUAUGAAUAAGGAUCGGCUAACUCCGUG